CCUACGGGAGGCAGCAGUGGGGGAUAUUGCACAAUGGGGGGAACCCUGAUGCAGCGACGCCGCGUGGGUGAAGAAGCGCCUCGGCGCGUAAAGCCCUGUCAGCCGGGAAGAAAAUGACGGUACCUGAAGAAGAAGCCCCGGCUAACUACGUGCCAGCAGCCGCGGCAAUACGUAGGGGGCAAGCGUUAUCCGGAUUUACUGGGGGUAAAGGGGGCGCAGACGGCGAUGCAAGCCAGGAGUGAAAGCCCGGGGCCCAACCCCGGGCCUGCUCUUGGAACUGCGUGGCUGGAGUGCAGGAGGGGCAGGCGGAAUUCCUGGUGUAGCGGUGAAAUGCAUAGAUAUCAGGAGGAACACCGGUGGCGAAGGCGGCAUGCUGGACUGCAACUGACGGUGAGGCCCGAAAGCGUGGGGAGCAAACAGGAUUAGAUACCCUGGUAGUC
rnacentral:rRNA from 1 species